GGAACGGUCGCUGGUGCCUUCGGCUGGUUCAAACCCGGUGAAGGGGUGC
rnacentral:tRNA from 10 species